rnacentral:lncRNA from 1 species
UUGACGUUUUAGUGGGGUUCAUCUUGGUCAGUCUUUAGCUUUGUAGUAGAUUGUGUUUUGUGUACUUUUGUUUGUCGUUUAGUCUUCUUUCUUUCUUUUUUCUUUGCGAUGUCAGUUUAUUUUCUACCUACGAGUUUGGAUGUUCAUUUGGUAUCUUUCGUCGGUCUUUUGUAAUCGACACAUUAUUAUUGCAAAUGAGCCAAUUGGAUUACUAGGAUUGGAAAGCAAGUAAAUUAUCUCUUUUACAAAUUUCAUUCUUUAACUUGUGUUCGAUUUGUUAAUUAAAAUGUGCAGAAAGUUUCCAUCUGCACUUAAGUUACCUCAUAAUUCCAUG